rnacentral:rRNA from 1 species
AUGAAGCCGUCCUCCUACCCCGGUGUGGCUGGUGGGACAGCAGCUUGGAUGGUGAUGCUGCUCGCCGUCGCAGCUCUCGGCUCUGCUCCCUCCGCAUAUGCCUCGGUCUCAGGUUGCAAUGCCACCGAGCUGGCCAUCGCAAUCUCCAAGGACUGCAUAGAUGCGUAUGAGCCGAUGAGUACUUCUUGCUGUUCAGCCAUUCUUCCCACGGUUGACAUGGUUGGCUGUCUCUGUUCGGUGGUCGACGAACCGAUGAUCGCUGAUUCCGGCACCACCUCCAGGGCCUUGUUUCGUCUUUAUCUGGGGUGUGGAGAUCGAGAUAUCAACAGAGGUUGGUGCGUGGCUAUGCGCGGUGCUGUGCUUAAUCGGCGUGGGUUACAAGGUUUACAUGGAAGAACUGCCACAGUUAACAGCAGGACUCUGCCAGCGGUGAACAAUGUCUCAAUCAGAGAUCCCUCUCCAGUGAACAACAGCAAUGGCCAGAGGUCAGAGGGGAACAGCACUGCACAAGGAACCCCCCCGGAUGGAACUGAACUGGCUGCGAUGACUCCGAUGGACCAACCCAGCAGGAAGACAAGUCAUCUGUGCUUGCGUUGGCGAUCAGCACCUGAUCACUGGAUGAUGAGAACAUAA